AUCUAUCUAUCUAUCUAUCUAUCUAUAAAAUAUUUUUCUGAAUCUAGUUCUAAUUUCAGAGAACCGCGGAAGGAUGACCGAAGAGCGGGCUUAUCACCCGCGUGCGUCGUUAGGAGUUUAAACCCGGGCCCCCUCGCGCGGUAAAUUGACGUUUUUUUACCCGGGACUUAACAGACCUCUUUGAGGGUGGGGAGUCUGCAGCUGCCUGGCUGUGCAACAGCAGACUCAGUCGUGGAUGUGAAGUCCGGCAGGGAGGAGCCAGACCGGGUUUUCAGUCUGCUUUCAUCACCGAGCCCCGCGGAGGACCGACAGCAGCCUGGCCGCCUCUCCCCUCCUUUCCUCUCCUCUCACUCGACCGUUCGGCUCUACUUUCGUCCCGUUAGGCUCCACAGGGUACAAUCAUGGAGGAAAUGGACUUUGAGCGUCGCCGGGAGCUGAGGAGACAGAAGCGCGAGGAGAUGCGCCUGGAAGCAGAACGGAUGGCCAAGCAUGAUGAUGAUGAGGAGGAGGCUGCCCGCGAGAGGAGGCGCAGGGCACGCCAGGAGAGGCUGAGGAGCAGGGACAGCGAGGAGCCCUGCAGCCAGCCAGAUAGUCUGGUCAUGACCAACAGCCACAGGUGACCUAAGGGACGACCUUAAUGCCUUUAUUUAUUUAUUAACAUUUAACCACAAUUGCACACAAGCAACCCACUCCAUGCUGCUGUCAGCGGGAUUA
rnacentral:lncRNA from 1 species